rnacentral:rRNA from 1 species
UACGGAGGGGGCGAGCGUUAUUCGGAAUUAUUGGGCGUAAAGGGCGCGUAGGCGGCCUGGUCAGUCGAAGGUGAAAUCCCCGAGCUCAACUUGGGAACUGCGUCCGAUACUGGAAGGCUUGAAUCCGGGAGAGGGAUGCGGAAUUCCAGGUGUAGCGGUGAAAUGCGUAGAUAUCUGGAGGAACACCGGUGGCGAAGGCGGCAUCCUGGACCGGCAUUGACGCUGAGGCGCGAAAGCCAGGGGAGCAAACGGG